rnacentral:ncRNA from 1 species
AGCGACAAAACCACUCGCACCCAUCCCCAAGAAUAGCAAAGCAGAAAAACCCCGCGAGCAUAGAAAAUCCCCUCGAAAAUGAUAAAGAGAGUUAAAGGAGACCCUAUCCAACAAAUUUGGAUAGCGACAGAGGUAGAGGAGCCCUAUCUGGCCAAACCUAGAAAUGAUCGUGUAGUGGAGAUACUCAGGGGUUGAUAUCAUGCCACCGAAAUCAAUAAUUUCUGCAUCCUGGUUUUUUGUGGUUCUUGUUUGCAUUUACCUUCGAGCUAAUAUAUCUCUUAAACUCUACUUCAUGUCUGGGUUUAUCUUGGAAUCCCCAAAUCUUGUUUUAAGGUCUCUUUGCUAGUUUUAAGUUUGAAAUAAUGGUACGGACAAGGGGAAUCCGAUUGUUUAAUUAAAACAAAGCAUUAUGAUGGUCCCUUUGGAUGUUGACGCAAUGUGAUUUAUCCCUAAUGCUAUGCAUGUCAAAGUGAAGAAAUUCAACCAAGCACGGGUAAACGGUGGGAGUAACUAUGACUCUCUUAAGGUAGCCAAAUGCCUCGUCUUCUAAUUAGUGACGCACAUGAAUGGAUUAACGAGAUUCACACUGUCCCUAUAUACUAUCUAGAGAAACCACAUCUAAGGGAAUGGGCUUGACAGAAUCGACAGGGAAAGAAGACCUUGUUGAGCUUGAAUCUAGUUUGAAUUUUUGAAAUGACCUGAGAGGUGUAGAUUAAGUGGGAGUCAUUUUCGACGCAAGUGAAAUACCACUACUUUUGACAUUAUUUUACUUAUUCUGUGGGGCGGAGAUGGGGCACUGCCCCUGUUUUUGGAAAUAAGACACGUUUCAAUGGGUCGAUCUCGGCAAAAGACAUUGUCACGUAGGGAGUUUGGUUGGGGAAACACAUCUGUUAAAAGAUAAUGCAGGUGUCCUAAGAUGAGCUCAACGAGAACAUAAAUCUCAUGUGGAACAAAAGGGUAAAAUAUCAUUUGAUUUGCCACCAACCUCUUGAUCCUUAUAAUUCAUUGAUGGAUAUGAAUUAAUACAUCAAUUAGAUGUUUGCAUGCAUCAACAUAGUUAAUUUAAAAUACUAAUUGCUUGAGU